UACGUAGGGGGCAAGCGUUGUUCGGAAUUACUGGGCGUAAAGGGCGCGUAGGCGGCACAGCAAGUCGGGAGUGAAAGCCCGAGGCUCAACCCCGGAACGGCUUUCGAAACUGCUGAGCUAGAGUACAGAAGGGGCAACCGGAAUUCCCAGUGUAGCGGUGAAAUGCGUAGAUAUUGGGAAGAACACCUGAGGCGAAGGCGGGUUGCUGGGCUGAUACUGACGCUGAGGCGCGAAAGCCAGGGGAGCAAACGGG
rnacentral:rRNA from 1 species